GAUGAAGAACGUAGCGAAAUGCGAUAAGUAAUGUGAAUUGCAGAAUUCAGUGAAUCAUCGAAUCUUUGAACGCACAUUGCGCCCGGUAGUAAUCUGCCGGGCAUGCCUGUCCGAGCGUCAUUUCACCCCUCGAACCACUAUUCGCGUAGCUGGAUCGGUGUUGGGGCACUACGGUGGAAUACCCGUAGGCCCCGAAAUGAAGUGGCGGUCCCGCCGCGGCGCCCCCAUGCGUAGUAACUUUCAGUCUCGCAUCGGGUCCCGGCGGAGGCCUGCCGUCAAGCCUAUUUUAUAAUCUUUUACAGAUGGUUUGACCUCGGAUCAGGUAGGGUUACUCGCUGAACUUAAGCAUAUCAAUAAGCGGAGGA
rnacentral:misc_RNA from 1 species